GAAAGCAUAAAUACCCAUAUCUAAUUUUUGCACCAUUGUUUUUCUUUCUCUACCAGUUUGACCCAGCAACCUAUAUUCUACCGGCCGCUAGGGGGCGGUGGCGGCUCCCUUUCAUGAGUGCACGAGACUUGUUUGUAAACAGAUCCGUCUCGCCCGAGCACGAGGAAGCGCGCACGCGUACACACACAGAGAAAGGCGAGCCACGCGGGUUUCUCUCUGCUUUAAAAACUGAUGAUAUGAAGCUGGAUGGAUGAUGCAACUUUGAGCUGUCAAGUUCUCAAGCAACUUCUGCAGCAAUAAAAGAGAUUAAAUGAAUCUACAAAUAAAGCACUUACUUGGUCUAUCUGACGCUCCGUGGUGAGGCUGUGUGCAGGUCAGAAACCAGCCGUAACAGGUGGACAUCAGAGGGGAUCAAAUGUGCCAAAACAACCGAUUAACCCAUCAAAGCAAAAAUACCGACGAGAUGUGCCGAAUAACAGAGAAACUUGUUCUCGCUGCUCUUCUCUGUCCGGGCUGUGCGGUCUGUCUGAGUGGUCUCCUCGAGUGGUCUCCUCCUGUCUACUGUCCUUGUCAAACAUAUAUGUAUGAAGAGAAGAACAAGAGCUGACGUCCUGUGUGAAUUUUCAGAAUAAAACCCACGUCAACCUUUAUUGAACACAGUGGGGGAAAACGUUUCUUCUUGUGUUGUUUUUAGAUUAACUGAGAUUUAAACAUCCCUUGAACAUCCUUUGUUUAUCUGUGACUUUAUUUAUCAUGCUGCAAACCUUUGCACAUUCCUUGGUUAUAGUUUGCACAUUCCUGCACAGAACUGUGCAGCUUUUAUUUUUAUAAACAGAUAUAUUGUACAUAUCUUUCUAUUUUAUUUAUGUUUCUUGAUUUUUGCAGUACUUGCUUUUCAUCCUUUUCUUUUCUCUUACUAUGUUUAUUGUUAUUCACCAAAAUACCAAGGUAUAUCAUGGCAUACCAUGUCUAAACAUGCAUGACCGUGCAUGGUUAUUGGUGAAUUUAAUUUAUUUAUUUAUUGAGACAGUCAAACAUUAAUAAUACUGUGUGUGUAUCUGUGUGAAUUAUGGGAAAAAAUAAAAUAAAACAUUAACAGUGGAGCAUACUCUUGGUAUAUGCCAGAGAUUUAAAAAUGUGCCUAUGUUAACACUAUCAUUUUUACAUAGGACCGUAAUGUACUUGGCCUAUAUGUGUUAUGUUAUGGUGUGUAUUUGAAUAGUAAAAACAAAACAAAAAUGUCCAAAGCCAAACAUAACAUCUAGAAACUAUACAUUGUGUCUUACUUUUAGGUGAUCUGUCCAUCAUUUAUUAUUUUACCUGCACAAAUGUACUGUGCACUGUGUUUCUCAAUACUAAUUCUCCAUUUCCAAUUUCUAUCUGUAUUCCCCAACGAUGCACUUUAUAUCUUUUCAACUCCUGCUUUUAUUUUGAUGGCCGAAUCACAGUUGAGAUAACUUCCUUCUCCACAUCCUCGACAAGUGCCGACAUGCUCCCCAACAGGAUGCUGCCGUCUUACUUUCUCCAUCUCUUUCUCUCUUUUGCAUUUUCUGUUACUUCCUCUGUUGUUUUUAUUUGUAACAAUUUGGGACUUCCUUUAGCAUAAUAAAUAAAAACAUUUGUAUUUAU
ensembl:lncRNA